AACGCACAUUGCGCCCAUUGGUAUUCCGAUGGGCAUGCCUGUUCGAGCGUCAUUAUCCUCUCUCAAACCUCCGGGUUUGGUGUUGGACCCGCGUUGCGCCCUCGUGCGCAACUGGUCUCAAAGACAAUGACGGCGUCCGUGGGGACCCUCUUCGCAACGAGCUUCUUCGGAGCACGCGUCGAGUUUCAAGGAUCCCGCGGGCCGGUCUGAACCCCAUUUUUUUACAAGGUUGACCUCGGAUCAGGUAGGAAUACCCGCUGAACUUAA
rnacentral:misc_RNA from 1 species